AGAGCCACCAUUGGUUUGCAUUCUUCUAGAAUUGCAUUUCUUGAUAUUCAUUUCAGCUUGAUCCCAAUUCAUUUCUAACUUGAUGGCAACAAGUUAUUGUAUUCUCUAAUUGUUUCUGGAUUAGCCAGUUUAUUGUGACCAAUGUAACAAGUUGAUGUUUCCUGUCGACAUAAAGCUUACAUGUACAAACCUUGGCAGCUACCAAUUGGAAAUGAAAGGAAGAAAAUGUUUUCGGACU
rnacentral:sRNA from 1 species